rnacentral:lncRNA from 1 species
AAUAUCUAAUGCGUUCUCCGACCGGAGAAGUCAUUUUUGGGGGAGAGACUAUGCGUUUUUGGGAUCUGCGUGCUCCGUGGUUAGAACCACUAAGGGGUCCUAAUGGUUUGGACUUGAGUAGACUGAAAAAAGACAUCCAACCUUGGCAAGAACGACGUUCCGCGGAAUAUAUGACCCAUGCUCCUUUAUGUUGUGUAAAUUGUUUGUAAUUAGUUAAGGGAUUUAGAUAAGAGGAUUUAUGGAAAUAGUUUGAAAAUGAAGAGAUUUUAUAAGUUAAUCCUAAUUAAGUUAACAUGUGAGAUGAUGAGGCCACGACAAGAUCAAUUAUAAUAUUGCAAAUUGCCACUUGGCAAAUUCUUAUUGAAUAAGUAGCCCCCACAUGUAGGCAAAAGAGGCAGCAUAUUAUGUUCAUCAACCCAUUAAGAAAGCCAAAUUUUCAUUGAUAACGACUAUCAAACAAAUUCCAAUGGAUUUUCUCUCUUCUUUCUUUCUUCUCUUGCUGGCUUUCCUUUUACUUCAACAACUCAGAACCCGCCGGAGAAAUCUGCCUCCCAGCCCACCCUCCUUUCCGAUUAUUGGUCAUCUCCAUCUCCUACAACGCCCAACCCACCGGAACUUCCAAAACAUCGCUGCCAAAUACGGACCCAUUUUCACUCUCCGAUUCGGAUCUCACCUUGCUGUCAUAGUCUCUUCACUCCAAAUAGCCCAAGAAUGCUUCACCAAACACGAUCUCAUAUUCGCCAACCGCCCGCGUUUGCUGAGCGGAAAAUACCUCGGCUACAGCUGGACCACCAUGGCUGCCGCCUCUUACGGCGACCAUUGGCGGAACCUCCGCCGCCUCGCCGCCAUGGAGAUCUUCUCCCCGACGCGCCUCAACGCGUCUCUCGCCUUCCGGAAGGAUGAAAUCCAGCGAUUGUUGGUCAAACUCCAUUCGGAAUCAUUCGCCAAGGUGGAGUUGACACCCAUGUUUUCGGAACUGAGUUUCAACAUCGUGAUGAGGGUCGUGGCCGGAAAGAGGUACUACGGGGAGAAGGUUUCCGAUGAUGCGGAAGCGAGGAAGUUCAGAGAGCUUAUGGAUGAGGUUUCGCGUCAGGGAGGAACUUCGCAGUGGGUGGAUUUCAUGCCGAUUAUGAAAUGGAUUGGGUUUGGUGGAUAUGAGAAGAUUUUGGCCAAAUCGGCAAUAUGGGCCGAUCGAUUUGUCCAGGAAUUGGUUGAUGAACAUCGGAAUAAGAAAGUAUUGGGAAGAGAAGAACAGAGUUCUCUGCUUCAUCGGCUUCUGGAAUUACAGCUCUCGCAACCGGAAUAUUACACCGAUCAGAUCAUCAAAGGGCUUGUUCUGGUUAGUAAUCCAACCUCUUCUUGUUUAAUCUAAUCGGAUUUUGCUUUUCAGUGUGGGAGACUGAAAUAGAGUUGAUCUAACUUGAAUAUUGUUAAGCAAAUGGAGAACGGAAGAGUUUGGUUGAUUUCACUUACUUUAUGAACUAAUCAAAAGUAAAAAUGCUCACUUUUAAUCUUUCUUCUUUCCUGGACGAACUUCCGAAACUCUGUCUUUUUGUCCUCUUUCCUUCUUCUGUUUCUUCUCCAACGCAACCAACUUUGGUAAAACUGUUAUUUUCUUCCCUUUUUUUCAUUCUCUUUUCUUCUUCUCCGGUGUGACCAACUUUAUCGCAAACCACACACCACAACUACGGGUGUGAGAGAGGAGUGGAGAGUGAUCUGUGACUGAGGAAAGGGAGAGAGAGCGAAAGAAAGAAUGAGAAAGAGGUAGAUGAGCCUUUCAUGGGCUGAGUAUAUUUUGUUAAUUUCACCAAAGUCCCUUCCCAUCAAGUUUCUCCGCUGCUAAGUUGUUUUGCUCUCAAUAAUUUCAAUAACUAUACUUUAUUUCUUUCUAAUUGGAAUAUUGCACUUCAUUUACUAUGAAAAGUUCACACAAUUUCAUCAUAAAUUUAUUUUAAACAGAUUCUAUUUUGUAUAAAAAUGAGUUUUUCUUACCGACGGCCCAAAAUGUCGGAAACAAAGUUUCAGAAAGGGAGCGGAUUCCGUUUUAGGCCAAAUAUUGUAUUAAAUGGACGAUUAUCUCUAUAGCAAUCGUUUUAAACUUUUAUAAAUAAGGAUUGAGUCAUCAAGAGGAACCCAUUUUAAUAUUAAAAAGAACUAAAAUGGACAUUUCAAAAUUGAGGAACUAGAAUGUAUAGAAGUUAAAAAGUACAAACGAAAAUAAAAAAAUUUGAAAAGACAAAAUUGAACCAAAGCAAAACACAAUGUUUUAUCCAAGUCUUACUAUUUUGUGCUGCUUUGGUUUUCAAGUAUUAUAUUAAAAAAGACGUUGUUGUGUAGGUUUUGUUGCGUGCGGGAAUAGACACGUCAUCUGUGACCUUGGACUGGGCAAUGACUGAACUACUCAACCAUCCGGAGGUAUUAGCCAAAGCCAAAGCUGAGAUAGACACCAAGAUCGGUCAAGAUCGUACCGUUGAGGAAACAGAUGUCGCCAACCUCAACUACCUUCAAGCCAUUAUUUCUGAAACCUUUCGUUUGCACCCUCCAGCCCCGAUGCUUCUCACACACUAUUCCUCUGACGACUGCGUUGUCGCAGGCUACAACAUUCCACGUGGGACGAUGUUGUUGGUCAAUGCUUCAGCAAUUCACAGAGACCCGAAGUCGUGGGAUGACCCAACUAGUUUUCGACCAGAGAGAUUCUUGGGAGCAGGGAAUGAGUUACAGACCAACAAACUCAUUCCUUUUGGAGUUGGAAGGAGGGCUUGUCCUGGAGAAAUUAUGGGUUUACGUGUUGUAGGAUUGACUUUGGGUCUAUUGAUUCAAUGCUAUGAGUGGAAAAAACAUGGAUAUGAUAACGUAGACACGACUGAAUAUGGAGGUAUCACCAUUCUCAAAGUGAAGCCUGUGGAGACCAUGUGUAAACCUCGUCCAGUUAUGGCAAAACUUCUAUCAAAUAGUUUGGACUAAGUCUUACAAGCGUGUGGUUACAGCCUUUGUUAUAUUUAGAGCUUGAAUAAAUAAUGUGAUUUGAAUGUUCUCAAGCUUUUAUGUAUAUAAUAUAUAAUCAGAACUUAAAUAUAUAAAUCUACCUUCAGCAAACAGUAAAAAUAAAAAAAUAAUGUUCUCAAGCUUUUAUAUAUUUAUAUUUGUGUAUUAUAUGCAUACACAUUAAAAACUUUAAAUAUCUCCUUAAAAACUUUUAUCUAAAAUUAUCUAUCAAAUCAAUGUUCUACAAUAAUUAAAAAAUAGCCUAAAAUGAUUUAAAGAAAAAAACGUGAAAUAUAAAAACUAAAAUAAAAUAGCACUAAACCAAAAACCUUUCACAAUCAAAUUACCUUCCAGAAACCUUUACACAAAGGUAGAAAAUAUGUCCAUUUCAAUUUAGAUUUCAAUAUGAAAUCCAGUAAGAACUAAACGGCCAAUGCUAGUUCAAUUCAAACGACAACAAUACAGCAAAUUUGUGUCUACAUAUUACAAACUAUCCUUGAACAUUAAAGCUCGAAAUCGAGUUCGUUUUGUAUGUCAAGUGUAUACAAAAUCAUCAGCCAUAUUAUAUCAUUUCUGCAUGGUUAGAGAGAGGAACCUUCGCUUCGAUUUGGCUUUUGAGAUCUGAAGAUGGAACUGCGAUCAUCAAAUUUUGGGAGCCAGUCGUUAGUUGCAGGAUUGCCUUUGUAGCCACCAUGAAGAUGAACCCUCCCAUUUGCAACAUCAUUAAUAAACUCUUGAGUUUUUUUCUGAUUAUGGACUCCAUUUUCUCCUCCUUCAUUUCCUACUUGUAUGAACCCACUCCCUGUCUACUCCCUCCAAAAUCGUCACCAAAAUCAAUAAUAAUAACAAAGAAUUAACUCUCAUAGUUAUUAAGAUUUACCUUUUUAUAAAAUCAAACGUUUUUACAAUAAAGUUGAUGAAAACUUUUCGAUGAAGAACUUAGGACUUGGGACUUCUUGGGAAGACUGAAAUGUAAGAGGUUAAUCGUAAUGUUGACAAAAGAAGGAGACACUAAGUUUCUUUAGAAAAUUUACAAAGAAUGAACACUUUUGAAAAGAAUAUUUUGUUUACUCUAACACUCUGUUCACUUUCACUCAAAGUUUAGUAACUCUCUCUCUCUUCAUCUCCUUGUUACUUUGCUUGCUUACGUUUUUUGGUUCACAAAGGAGGAUCACACCUUCUUUUUAUAGAAAUGAAAUAUUUGGAGCCCAAGCUCUAAAGGAAUUCAUAAUUCUAUUGAAUCCCUUAACCUAAAUAAGAUCUAUUAUAUUUCACACUUUUUCUUUUAGAUAUUUAUUUACAUCUUUCAACAUAAUUUUAGAAAUUUAAUCUACCCAUUUAAUAUUUAUGUUUAGAUUGAUAGUCUUUAAUUCUUACACUCCUUUCUCACCACUUUUCAAUAAUCCUCAAUACGUUCUAUUAGUAAGAAUGAUUUUUCCAAACAUCUCCGAACCUUAAUGAUAAGAUAUUGUUCAACGUGGUCAUAUACAUCCCCAGCUUUACUUUUGUUUUCCUCCAAAAUAGAUAGAUUGUCCCACCUAAUAUAUUAUGAUCAUCCUCUUAUCUGAGCGACGUGAGAUUUUGGUAGUAUUCCCUAACCCAUUCCAACCUCCCAAACAGGUCUUUGAUGGUAAUAGGUUUCACAGCUAGCAUAUCAGAUAUAAUCUAAUUUAAACUUAAAACAAAUCACCAUCCUCAAUAAACACCAAAAAAAAAAAAAAAAAAAAAAAAAAUGCGGAAGAGAAAGAGAAACCUUAUGAUGACGUUUUUCAAUCGAAUCCAACUCCUUGUAAUAUUCUGUCUCCACAUAGUCCUCCUGCACCAAACAAUCCCCAACUCCCAAGCGAAAAGCCUGUAAAAAUUCUUCAAAAGUUCAUGCCCAGAUCACGAUUCUCGAAGAAAAAACCAAAUGUAACGAAUGGAGGAAUAGUACAUGAGAUUUCGACUGGAGAUUUCUGAGCUUAUCAAGCUCCGGAAUUGCCUUUUUUGAGGUGAAUCCAGAUGGGUAUUGAGUCAAGGGAUCGGAUUCGCUCCGGCUCGGUUUCAUCGGCCGCUUGGGGGCGAUGGAAUCAAACUGGGCUCUGAUGUGAUCAGUGAUUCGCAUCUGUUCCUCGUUGUCCAACACGACGUCGCUCCGGCUUGGCUUGGUCGCAGUGCACCGCGGCGCCGCCAUGGAGUUGGUUCUGGUCUAGUUUGGUUGUUGAAUUUGAUUGUGUUUGGCGGUGGUUUAAAUAAUAUUAUAUAGUGGGGACAAAAGCCAUGGACGUCCAAAGUUUGAAAGUGAGUGUUUCUGUCUUGGAUUUGGAUAGGAAUGCGAGAUUUUGAUGGGCUUCCCAUAAAACCAAUAAAAAUAAUUGAGACAGAAUAGAAGAAACUACGCUUUUUUUUUCUCCAAUAAUUUCUUAAUGAGUUGUAUCUAUUUGUUGUAGUUUGAAAUGUGUUCAGAUUUACUUAGGAAUGUUAUAUAAUGGAUGGUGAUAUAUUAUAAUAUAAAUUUUAUUAUAUAAAUUUAAUUUUAGAUAGAGUUCAAAAUAACUAAUUUAAUGAGUUCUUAAAUUCAUAUUAUUAAAAAGAUAAGUUAAAAUUUAAUGAGUAUAUGUCAUACAUUAAAACUAUAGGUUAAUUUGAGAAAUUUAUAUAUGAAUAUGACUCAAAUUUGGUUUAAAUUAAAUAUAAGAUAUUUAGGAGAAUUAAUUAAUAGUUUUAGUUUAAUUCUAUUUAUUUAAUUUAAUUAACUAAAUUAAAAACGAGAGAUAUUCAUGUAAAUAAAUUAUUGAUUAAAUCUAAUUUAAUUAUUUGAUUAUUUAUUUAUUUAUUGGAUAGUUCACAUAAAUGUAACGAAAACCUAAAAUUAUUUAUGGUCCGUGUAACAGAAAGUAAAAACCCAUGAAGUUACCAUUGUCUUUUCGUAAAUUCCAAAUUUGUCCUUGAAUAUUGUAGAUGAUUCGUCAGUUCUUUUUUUCUUCUUCUUUAUGAUUUAUUCAUCUUCUUUGCGAUUUCUUCAUCUUCUCGUCCAAAUUUUCUUUCUUCUAUUUUUAAACAAUUUAUUUUUCGAUUUAAAUCUUCUAUUUCAUCUUCAUCAUUUUCGACAAGAUUCAUUAAAGCUAUUUCAUAAUUGUUUCAAUAUUCUUCUUCAUCUUAUCAUAUUUGAGAAUAUCAAGAUCGUUUACCUAUCUUUUUAAAUUAUCAACACAAUCGUUUACCAUGGUCAAAAUGAUCGUUUAAAUUUAAUUUAGGGUUGUUUAAUAAGAAAUUUUAGACCAAUCACAACUUGCCACGUCAUUUACCAAAUUAAUGAUGAAAAACAUAUAUAAUUGAAUUUGAGAAUAAUUAAAAGUUGACAUGUGUCCCAAAUUGAAAUUGAAGACAUAAAUUGGUCAAUUAUGAUGAUGUUACGUGUUUUUAUCAUGAUCAUUGGAUCAAGUUAAUUAAGUAUUAUUUAUUUGGGUUAAAAUUCAAUUGAGCCAAAAAAACUAAGCUUAAUUUAACUUAAAUAAUAAAUAUGAUUCAAAUCCACGUAGUUGAGCCCAUGAGUCUUGUUUAUGCAUGAACUAACAAAGCUUAAUCCCAUAAAGCUCAUCAGAGAACUCUAUAAAGAGAGGAGUUCUCUUCAUAUGCGGGGACAUAAUAAAUAUUUACUACAAAAGGUCAGAGAAUUCUUCCAAAAACCACAAUACUCCUUAACUCUUAAAGUCAACCACCCUUGAAAUUGAAAUAUUUUUUAACAUCACAUGUUCCGCUUCCUGAAAUUAAGCGUAAACAUUCAUCAGAAAGAGAAUCAAAGGAUUAAAUACUAGAUAACGAAUUGCAUCGUAUCAUAAUCCAUAUCAACCCAAGUUCAACUCCACGAAUUAAAUUUCUCUUCAAAUCGCGUAUAAACAAAGAUUUUUUUGUUAAUCAAGAGCAAUUAGAGUAAAAUUUUUAUCUGAGUUUUUAUUGUGCAUGUCUAAUUUUCUAUCACAUCAAACUCACAAUAAGCUUUUUUUUAUGUACUAGAAAAUUGAAAUAUAAUGACACCAAAUAUGUGUUACCAACAGUUGCCAUGACACAUAUUUUGUGUCUUUGAAACCCUUGUAAAGAUAGGACAUUUAAUUACACAUCACUAAAGCGUCGUAUAUUACUUAAACAACAUUUGAUUUGAUGUCAAUAAUCAAUUUCUCUUGCUAUUUACCAUCUGUCACUAUUAAGUGGUAAUUAGAUAAUUCUACAUUUUUUCUGGUGAAAAAAAAUCCAAUUUCAAGUUGUCAUGCUUUCGUUUCGGGAUAAUCGGGCUGCCCUCUAGCCUUUCUAUUCCACCGUUUCUUGUAAUCACUUUUUAUUAUUAAUGAAGUGGGGCUAAUGCUGAUGCUUUGAAAUGUCCUCCAUGUGGAGAUAUCCUUGCAUCAGCUAUCCCAAACUAUCCUUAUAAAAGACAAAAAAGUUGUGGUCAGAUGUGUUUAAUGUAAUAAAUCCAACUGCGGCAACAAUGAGGAUGGGUUGUGUGAUGGUGGCUGAUGGAAAGAGUGACAGUAGUAAGGGAAAGAAAGGAAACAAAAAAGACUCGCGAAUUUGAUGAAGAUCUAAAAUUAGCGGUGGAAGAACGAACGAUCGGCAAAUUCAUUGAUCUUGGCCGGUGGAUGGGGCGGCUUCCAUGCCAAAAGGUGGGGAAAUGGGAUGGUGAGGCCUAUUUUGGGAGAUGGUGAACUUUUAACUUGGGGUUUAUUUUACUUACUCUAUUUUGAUUUAAUGAAAAGAUAAAUUAAUGAUAAUUAAUAGGUAAACAAUGACGUUUAAAAAUUUUAGUUGUUUAGUGACAGUUAAAAAAUGUCAAGAAAAAGCAUGAAUCCCAAAGUUCCAUAUUUUCAUGCAAAAAAAGUACGCCUUUUUUUUUUAUUAAUGACACAUAUUCCCCCGAAACCUGUUUCCAUUAUUGAAGUUCCAAAUUGUAGUAGUGAUGGUCCACCUUCAGCACUAGUUGACGUUUACCAACAUUCUUAUGGUAAACCUCUCACUAACUCCUCACAAGGUAGGAUAGUAUCGACAAUACUUCGACAUUUGACAAAGGCAAACUGAUUUAGACUAAUCAAAUAAUUAAGGAUCGGAACUUGCACAUAAAACCAAUUCACAAUAAUCUUCCUAAUGCACUUAUACAAAACAUUACAACAAGAAAUUGGCCUCAAGUCUCCAAGGAUCUAUAGGCCACUACAUUUAGAAACCAUUGUGAUUAAUAUAUAUCACAUUUAUACUUAGGGGAAAGGGAAAAAAAAGUACAAAAACAUUCAAGACCACAUCACAAAAUUCCUGCCCAACACGGCAUUUCAAGCAGAUAUUCAUAGAAACUCAAAAAGUAACCAUCAGGACUAGUAAUCUUCCUACUCUCCAUCGAAAAUAUAAUAGACACCCAAACCUCAUAAUUAGUAAUGGGCUGACACAAAACCUUACUAUACCCCUUAGGCUAAGUGAAGUCUACAAUAUCUAAUAUCCCUAUAAUAAUCCAAUAUAAAAUAAAGUUGGAAUUAAUAUAAUCUCUCUUUUAAAAAAAAACAAUCAACUGAUAUGAUAUGUAGUUAAAUUUAAAGUUUGGAAUUGAGUAAUCUCUCCAUUUAAAUAAUUUUAAUGAGGUGGCAUACACUUUGAUAAUAUUCGAUCGUUUAAUUAAUUUAUGAUUGAACAUUCGUACUAAUUAUCAUUUGUUAUCCUCCAUCAAUUUUGUCACGUUGUUUGUUAAGUAUAAUAGAGUGUGUGCAUUCGAGAAUUAGACCCUCAUAAUUAAUCGUUAGGUCAUAUAGAAUAUCAAAAUCGAGUGUUAUGAUUGCUUGACAUCAAAUUUGUCAUUUAUUAAUCAGAAAGGAUAUAAUUAUGGAAAAAACUUCAAAAGUAUAAGGAACUUAAUACUGAGGAUUUUAAAAGAAAUGUUAUAGAUUGGAAUAAGAAAGUUGGUAUAAUCAUUGAGCGAUCGUUAAUUAUUCAAAGUUUUGAAAAACGCAAAGACUUGAUUUUUCCCAUUCUUUAAAAUUGAAGACAUGCUUUCCAAUAACUUCAUUGAACUUGACCUGUGCAUUGGUCACUUGUGGGUCAACCUAUAAAAGCUACAACCAACAUUGCAUACCUUGAAGAUAAGAGUGGAAAGAGAAAAUACCUCAAAAGUUUUGUUUGGUAGUACAGUGAUAUUCAAUAAAAUAAGCCCUCACCUUUAACUUUCAAAAAAGAUUGAACUUUGAUAUGAUAUACAUUUUCACAAAGCCCACUUAUAGAAUGGAACCCCCUAAAUUUCAAUUAUUAACUUAUGGUGGAAGUGAGUUAAACUAAGUAGAAAAACCCAUAAACAAUUACUAAAGAGGUAAAUAAGAUCUGUUUAUGGACUUACAACUUGGUUCAAUUUCUUAUGAUUAUUUUGCUUUCAAUCUAACAUUUAAAAAAAAAAAACUAUAGUAAAUUUAACACUCUCCUAACACAUACAAAUUUGUAAAAUACCCAAAAGAAAAAAGUACACAUAAAUAUUAAUUGAAGGACGUGAUACAUUGAAAAGAUUAGAACACAUAAGACCUUUUGGUUUAAUGCUAUGUUAAAUUAUAUUGCUUAUAAAUUCAAAACCUCAAGUAGAUGAGUUUGGUUAAACGCUUGUAAGACUUAGUCCAAACUUAGUCCAAACCUAAAUAUAACAAAGGCUGUAACCACACGCUUGUAAGACUUAGUCCAAACUAUUUGAUAGAAGUUUUGCCAUAACUGGACGAGGUUUACACAUAACCCAAUAUAACCAUUAAAAAUUAAAAUAAUAACUAAAAUGGAAAACACAUACCUAAAAGCUUUAUUACCCUAUACCUCCCCCUAAAAAAUAAAAUAAAAUAAAAGGAAAUUAAGGGAAAAACUUUAAUCAUUCCCAUGCUUUUUUAUCCUUCCCUAUUGCGUAUUCUUUUGAAAAGCAAACUAAGCCAAAAUUUUCUUCUCUAAUCAAUAAUGGCAAUAAUGCUCUUCCUCUCCCACCUCCUUCCUCUCCUACUUCUUCAAUUCUCUUCCUCUUUAGCUUACUCUCCUCCAAAUAAGUAUUUUCUCAACUGUGGAUCGGAAUCCGACACAGAACUCAUAAACAAGAGACGGUUUGUUGGUGAUGCCAAACCCAAUGAUUGGUCAAUCUACCCCGGGAAAAGCAAAAUAGUUCAGAACACCACCAUCCCAAAAUCCAUAAAUGAAAUAUACCAAACAGCAAGAGUUUACAAUAAGGCAACAUGGUAUGUGUUUCACAACAUCACUCCAAAUGGAACGUAUGUGGUUCGUCUCCAUUUCUUCCCAACUUUACCUCAAAUUAUGUCUCAAGCUCGGUUUAAUGUCUCAGUCAGUUGUGGGUUUGUAUUGCUAUCAAAUUUCUCAGUUGAAAACGAUUUGAAGGCAGCAGUUGUUAAGGAGUUCGCUUUCGCAGUUAACGACGGGCCAUUUGGCAUCGGAUUCUCCCCUAUGGAAUCGUCUCUGGCUUUUGUUAAUGCCAUUGAACUCUUUCUUGCCCCUGGGGACUUCAAACCAGAUUCAGUUUUCCCUAUUUCUCCAGAAGUAAGAAGAAUGAACACUAUGUAUACGUUGACUUUCGAUGCAUGGAAUGCUGUAUACAGGUGCUAAAUCUCACUUCAUCUCUAAUUAUUUUAUGGUAAUUUUUCAAUCUCUGUUUAAUUUUCCAAUACCCAUCUAAUUUUGAUAUUAAAUCUAAAGUACAAAUUAUAUAGAAAAGGUUACUUUUUAAGACAUUGCUGAAUAAAGUAUGUACAUCUUCAAAGUUUUCCUCAACUUAAAUAUAUAUAAUUUUUUACUUUGUCCUAUUUAGUAGACGAAACCUCAAUUAUUAUUUUAGUUAAUUAAGAUGUUAAAAGCUUUCUUAUUUUUAUAGAUGGGAUUAAGCUUUCAAAAAAAUUAUAGAGAUUUUUUCAAAUAUAGUACAAUGAACCAAAAUAUUUGAAUAGAAUCUAAAAUUUUGUAAUAUUUUGACAGUCAUUUAUAAUAAUUAAAAAAAUAUAUGUAUAUUUAUUUUACUUUAUUUCAAAAUUUUGAAGCACUUACAAUUCAAUAGUCAAUAUAUAACUGUCUCUCGUAGUAACCAUUGAUACUUUUGUUUACCUCUAGGAUGGAAAUGUUAUUUUGACAAACUACUAGAGCAUGGUAUUAAAUCACUUUUAAAUCUUAAAAGUUAAGUUGUACUGACCUUGUGAAGGACAGGGUGUGGAUGGGUAGAGGGAUGAUCACUCCAGAGAAUGACACAUUAUGGAGAACUUGGCUCCCAGAUUCUGAAUUCAUGCCUCUUCAAUCCUCUGCCAGAACUGUCACCUACAAUCAAAGAUUAAAUUACGAUAUACAAGAAACAAUUUACGUAGCCCCAGUCUUCGUUUACAAUAAUGCAAAGGUAUUGGAUAUGAACACCAGCACUAGCUCAGGAGAUUCAACUCUAACUUGGAUUUUUAAUGUGAAGAAGAAAUCCAAGUAUUUUCUUCGCUUACUCUGGUGCGACAUCAUUACCCCACAUUCAACACCUUUCUAUUUUAAUAUAUUCUUUGAUAUCAAUCAAACUGACCUCCGACCCACCGAUGUUACCCAAAACAAUGUGUUCGCAUUGCCAUUUUGGUACGAGUUUCUCAUCGUUACUGACCAUUCGGGAUUCUUCAAUCUGAGUAUAAGUCUCGAUAAAAAAGAUCCACUUUCAUGGGGAUUCUUGAAUGGAAUUGAGAUUAUGGAGUUAAUUGAGAAAUCAUUUGUGGGUGUUGUUGAUUUAAGCAUGGGAGAGGAGAAACAGAGUCCAAAGAUGAUUAUUGUUGGGGUUUGUGUUGGUGGGGUUGUGAUUGUUGGUUUGAUAAUUGGAUUGGCUGUGUUUUGUUUUGUAAGAAAUAGGAAGUUAGGAAAGCAUCGUCCUAUUCUUCUUCCUCAAAAUGAUCCGUCCUCGGAGAAGAUUGUGUCGAUUGCGGAUAUUGCUCCUAAUUUGAACCUUGAACUCAAGAUACCCUUUGGGGUAAUAAAUGAUGCAACUAAUGGAUUUGAAGAUAAGAAAAUGAUUGGUAUUGGAGGAUUUGGAAAGGUUUAUGUUGGGAGAAUUGGAGAGAAGGAUGUGGCUGUGAAGCGAAGUCAACCUGGACAUGGACAGGGUAUCAAGGAGUUUCACACAGAGGUUAUUAUAUUUUCUCAAAUACGACAUCGUUUUCUCGUUUCGUUAUAUGGGUAUGUUCUACCAUUACUCAACUUAACUUUAAAUUUUCUUUCAAGUUUGUUAUGUGUUUUGAUUACUAUGCCACUUUGUUAGUCAUUUGAUUAACGUUUUGAUUUAUGGAUUUAAUUUUCUUUUGUGUUCUACGUAUUUUCAUCAGGUAUUGCGAUGAAAACCAAGAGAUGAUCUUGGUUUAUGAAUACAUGGAGGGAGGAACUUUAAAAGAUUAUUUAUACGGUUCAAAGGCUAAAGAUAAUGUUCCAUUGACAUGGCAAAAAAGGCUUGAAAUUUGCAUCGAUGCAGCGAAAGGUCUUGAUUAUCUACACACUGGCUCCACCGCCACCAUCAUCAUACACCGAGACAUUAAAACCACAAACAUCCUACUCGACAAAGAGUUGAACGCAAAGGUUGCCGAUUUUGGGAUAUCCAAAACUGGAGUUCCCGACGCCAAAGAAUUAGACACUACCAUUAGAGGCACUUAUGGAUAUUUGGAUCCAGAAUACUUCAACACUGGUCAGUUGACAGAAAAAUCUGACGUUUACUCCUUUGGCGUCGUGCUUUUCGAAGUUCUCUCGGCCAGAGCACCAAUCGUUAAGACCGCUCCAAGUGAAGAGACAAACUUAGCUGACUGGGCAGUUCUGUGCAAAAGCAGAGGAGAGAUUGAAAAAGUAAUCGAUCCUUUUCUUAUCGGAACAAUCGAAGCGAACUCGUUGAGAAAGUUCGUGGAAGUUGCAGAGAAGUGUGUGGAUGAAGUUGGGGCGAAUAGGCCUUCCAUGCAUGACGUGGUCUAUGAUUUGGAAUUGGCUUUUCAGUUUCAGUUCACGCCUGUAGGGGAGGGGAAGGCGUAUGAAGGGAUGAGCACCACCAUCGUCGAAGCUCCAUGGGAGAUUGAUUCAGGGAUUCUUGAUCGAAUUCCUUCCAAGGGAAUCGAUGAUUCAGUCAUGCUAGAUGAGGAUAGCACCACUAUGAAUGCUAGAGAAUUGGCCGCUGAGUUCAAGAUUGAUUGUGCCAGAUGAAUUGCUGUCAUGCCAAAGUUUAGAUUAUUGGCUUCUUUUAGAUUCUGCUUUUAGUCAUCAACUAUGUACUUUAUUAUCUCUGUUAAAGUGUAUUGUAUGCAGCUUACACAUUUGGAGGGUCGUUUGAUGGCAAAUUUGAAAUCUUCAUGUUUGUAUAUAUUAAGCAUCUACGGUUAAUUUAGGGGUUGAGAUAGUCUGAAUUUAAACGUGUAUGUGUUUGGAACUUUGAGUUUAAUUAUAAGUUAUAUGUUUGGAGUGCAAGUUUAAGAAAAGUGAUAUUAGUGUAAAUUUAAAGAUGUUAGGUUGGUCUGGUGAUCUUCUAUAUAAACUACCACCGUUUUUGGAAACUCUUUACAACAGUGUUUGGCUUAUUCAAUGUUUUCAAUUUGUUUGGCUUUGUUGUUGAAAUCUCAGUGACUACUAAUACAAUAAUAUUCUAUAUAUAAUUAUUUCAAAAUCAUACUGCAAAUCUUAACUCAUUUUUCAAAUCUUCUCAAAAUUUAACUAUUCCAAAUCUCCGCCAUGCACACUACAAACUUUCACACUAUUUAUAGUAAGUAGGAAAAUAAAUAAAAAAGCAUCAAUAUUAAUAUUAAUACAUGUAAAGUCUUCAAGAAGACAUCAACAAUUUGUCAAUGUGUAUUUGGUUCAUUAAUGCAUCUAACCACAUUUUAGAAAAAUUGCAUCACACAACAAAAAAAAAAACCUUAAAAUAUAGCUGCUCAUAUAAUUUUUUUUUUUUGCCUAUUGUAAAUAUGACAAAUAUAACAAGUAAUUAAAUAUGUUGGAAGCUUAUGAAAAAGCUAUCCACUAUUAAAUUUGCUAUUUUUAUAAUCUAUAAAAUGUAGUAACUAUUACUCUUAAAUUUGCUAUUUUUAUAAUUUAUAAGAUGGAGUAACUAUUUAGGUGGGUAAGUAUAAAUGUAAUUCAUAUACCCACUUAUGUCCAAAUUAAUUUUAAGACAAUGCAGAUAGGAUAAGAGUUUUUGAACCUCUCCAAGCUAAUUUUUAAUCUCUCUUCACAAGUCAAGUUAUAUUCAUGUUGAAAAUAGAUUUGCUAUUUGGAGAGUAUAUAUAAAAGAUAGUUUGCAGAAAAUAAUAACUAAACAAUCAUUUGAUGGAAGUACGAAACUAUGUUUUUGUGAGAACCAACGUUUUACUCUUUUGGUAGAAAUAGAAUAGAAUAACAGUAAUAUAAAAAGUUGUUGGAGAUGGCAUGAGUUAGCUUUAUAUUUUUUCUAACGUAGAGGUGUAUUCAUUAUAUUUGUAUCAAACAAAGUCUUAGCAUCUGGUUUUGAAAACAGUAGAUUUAAUUUUUCUAUCGAAUAUUUUCUUUAUUUGAAAUUAUGCGGCUGAAUUAUAUUUUUCCACACGUUUCCCUUCUUUGAAGAGUGACUGAUCUUUUCUAAUGGGUGUUGUUUUUCUUUAGGUAUUAAAAUGGUUAAAGUAAUUUAUGAACCUUGUUUAGGGUUUCCAAAUGUGGCUAUUGAGCAAGUUGAUUGUGUUCCUCAUGAAAGCCGCAUAUUUGUUCAACGAGAAAGAGUUUCUUCCUGUACGAUGGUUAUUCUGUUCUACAUUUUCUUCCUUGCUUGAUUGCUCACUGUGUAUUCCUUUGUGUAAGUUUCUUCAUUUAAUUGCAACACAUUGAAGAUAAACACAAUUUUGGACCCCUAGGUCCCUAAACCAUUAUGUUGUUGAGAAGGAGAGAUUUUCUCAGUAGAUCACUCAGCCAUAGAGAAGGAGUUUUCUAUCAUAUGGGAAGCCUAAGAAUCAUUCAUGGCGAGAGAGUUCUCUAUCUUACUGUCAAAAAUUAUUUUAGUGAAAUCACUAAUAUUACCAUUCUAGCCUAAGCAUAUAGAAGGUGAGAGGAUCUGAAGCAUACAUACACACACUCGAGAGGGAGUCUCACAUUUAAGGAGAGCCUAGGCGAUGAUCAUUGAAUUAAACUCUACAUAUAAGUCAUCGAUAAGAGUAUUGCAGAUACAUAGUACCCCCAAAAUGUAGUAUAUCGUUGAACAAGGUUACCGACUUUUGUGUCUCCUUUUUUUUUACUCAAUAUUGUGUUUCAAUUGUAUGUGCUUCUCGUUUGACAUCCGCAACUGUGUGACAAGUCACUCUAACGCUUUUUCAAAAGUAAUAAUUAAAAUUAAAUAAAUGUAUAAAUGAUUAAUUGAUGUAUAAGGUUGUAUUCAAAUAUAGUUAUAUGAGUCAACUUAUUUACAAAUAUAGCAAAAUAUAAUUUUAUCUAUAAUUAGUAUCUACUUUAGUGUCUACCACUAAUAAACAGUGACACUUGACUGUAUUUAAAAAUAUUUGUAAUCAUAUAUGUAAAGUGUUGUUAAACACCAGUAUUGUAGAGUGGAUGUUUGUGUGUGAGCCAUUGGCAAAAGUUUAGUUAUAAAACAAAACCAUACAACUAAGCAGGAAGAAAACCAGCUGGGAGAGAGAUUAUAAUAUGCAAUGUUUUGGGUUAUUCAAAUUCAAUCUCCCAUUUCUUUCUAUAAUUCUUUUCUUUAGUUAAUCUCAAGAAUUGGAAAGGGGUGAAGGGUGACUUUUUUAGAACUGCAUGGCUUGAUUGGUUUGGUUGAAAAUUUCCCCCCAGAAACAAAAAAAAUGAAUAGGAGAAACUCUAAGUUGAAUUAUGAGGGUUUUGUUAGAAUUUUUCAAGUUGAGGAUUGACUUCAUUGAAUAACGCUUAGUGUCAAGGUGCAUAUAUACUGUUGACAUGGCCCUGUUUUAACUUUAGGUAGGGUAAUCAGGUAAAGAAAUAUCUUUUUAGGCAUUUUACUAAAGUUGGAAAACGAAAGCAAAGGAAAAGGAAAAGUUAAUUAAAGGUUAUAUUGGUAGCAACUUUUAGGAUAGCAAUGUCCAAUUAAGGUAUUCCUGUGAAGUUAGUGUUUAGUUAGAAAGGGACAGAGACAAGUGGAGCAGCACUACUUGAUUCAUAAAAAGAAGAGAAGUAUAAAGAACUUGGUGGAAAGGAGGCCAUGAAUGGACUAGAUUAGAGAUGAAUAAAAGGGGGAGAAAGGUGAGACUGAAAGAUGAAGACUGUGGGUUGUUAAAGAAAAUUAGUGUCACAGUUCUCUCUUAAAUGAAAAAUUAAUUGUAUUGUUCACUUUUGGUACUUUCAAUUUCUCCAUAAACGUGCUUAGUUACAAAAAGUAGAUGAAAUUUAUAAUAUAUUAAAUAGUGCUACAAACUUUGAAAAUAAUUAUUGGGGCACUGACAAAAAAAAAAAGUUUAAAACAAUUUAUAAUAAUUUAGCUGAUAGUAAACCCAUUUAUUAUUUGUACAAAUUACACAAACAAACAAAGUUCAAACUCAUAAAUAAGUCAUAAAUAUUGGAGGUAAAAUGUCAUAAAUGUCAUUGUUACUAAUAUAUAUCUAGUACACACUUGAUAUUUCUUGAUACAUUUAAUAUAUUUGAUAUACUUCUUGAUGUCUUUGAACCAACUUGAUACACUUGAUCCAAUCGAUACUAUUUGAUGCACCUAAAACACUUUAAUAUAUCUAAUACUCCUUAUUACACUUAGUUCUUCUUGUUACACUUUAGAUUCCUUGGACCUUGAUACAAUUGAUUAGUUUGAUAGAUUUGAAUUCUUCAUUCAUAAAUUUGAUACACUUGAUGCACUGUUGAUAAACUUAUCUUUCUUUUACUAGAAUACUCAACGAAAUUGAUAUACACUUGAUACACAUGGAACUUUUUAUACCCAAUUUACUGCAAAUUGUAACCCCCAGAAAUUAAAGUAAUUUUAAAAUUUAAUUAUUUUAGUUUAAUUUAUUUAUAUUAGAAUUUUUUAGGGUGUUAUUUUAAAUUAUUGGUGAGAUUUGUUUAAUUUUGUGGAAAUUAUGAUUAAUUAAAUAAUUAGUGGAAGAAUAUUUAAUUAAUUGUAUUAUUGUAAAUUUUGGUAAGAUUUAAGAUUUCAGCUAAUUAUAUAUAUGCGUGUGUAUAAUUGGUUUGAUUAUGGAAGAUUAAUAAUAAUUAUGUUAUUGGAAAUAUUAUAAGUGUUUGUUAAGAGAUGAUUUGAUAGAAUUUUAAAUGAGGAGAGAGGAGGAGUUAUUUAUUAUUUUGGAAAAGGAAAAGGAAAAAGAAGUAUUUAAGUGAAAAGGAAAUAAUAAUAAUUAUGAUUAUUAAUAAUAUUAUUAUUUUAUUUUAAAAACACCUAAAAGUGCAUGCACCAUCUUCAACCUUUCUUCUUCCUAAAAAAUCCCUAGUACUGCCACCCCUCUUCACCGUUCGGUUGGUGCUGAUUUUCGUCUCAUCAACGACCGUCGUUGCUCAGUCCUGGCUCGAAUGAAGUUGUUUGUCUCGUUCAAAGCCCAACCAAGUCGCGCGAUAUUUGUCAAAGCCAUGGCGGAACGCAUGCCAACAACUACUACAACAAAAAAAUAUCUAUUACGACAGCUGUGUACAUCCCAAAAUUAAAAGAAGGAAAAAAAGACUGUCACAAAAGCUAAAAAUUUCUGUUUUUGGCGAAAAAAAUAUAAACUUUUUGUAUUUCACUCACCGCGACAGUUAUUUAGUGUCAUACAAGAUAUAAAAAACAAUUUAUUUAAUUUAUUAAAAUAAAAUUCAUUUUAAAUCAAAAAGUUUAUUAAAACCAAAAUUUUCCCUAAUUCUAAAAACAUUAAAUAAUUUAUUUAUUAAAAUAAAACUUAUAAAAUAUCUCCAAACUCUUUCUCCACCUCCUCUUCUCUUCUUCUUCUUCUUUUUUUGUGGAAGACCCACGUGUCAUUCCUCCUUCUCGAUUUUUUUCUCCCUUCUGCUAACCAUCUCUCUCCCUUUCUCACGCACGUCGGAAACGACACGACUUUUCGUCGACGACAUGUCUGAAAUCUCCCUCUUUGUCUCCUUCAAUCGACGCCACCACCCAACACCCCUUGUGCGCUGAACUCGCCGGUGAAUCUCAGUCGUCGCGCGCGGUAGCUAUUUGGAGAUCAAGCCUAUCGUUGUCUAUCUCUAUUCUUCGUUCAUAUUAAACUUCUAGAGUAAGAUUUUUGUGUUUCGGGAUUGUUUUGUUAGGCGAUUUUGAAUACUCGUUAUUUUUAGACUUGAGUUUAACAUUAUCCAUUACUUUUCGACUCCAGUUUUAGAAGCAUUUAAGUCCAUAUCCAGCCUUUCGGAAAGUCGUACUUGGGCAUUUUGGCACAACUUGGGUGAGAUUCUAAACUUUAUUAAGUAGGUCUUGAGUACCUAUUGUGUUUCAACUUGAAUUAAUCAGUACCCAUAAAGUUUGGAUGCUAAAUUGGAGUUCUUGCAAGGCCUUAGCUACUAAUUAGCUGAGAAAGAGUAAAAUUAAGGCUACCUUUAUAAGUGAAUUAGUAAGAAAUUUUGUGAUUUUAGUAAGUUUUGUUAUUACCCGAUUAGUUUCGAUAUGAAAUUUCCAUUACCAUGUUGUUGAUUGGAAGAAUUUAGACUCUAGAGAACUAUGGAGUAUUGUUCACCGCACUUAAGAUCGUUAGUACAAGUGUGAGUAGGCUCUUAAUUAGUGUUAACUCAUUAGUUGUUGAUGGGUUUGUUAAGUGUUAACUCAUUACCUGGUAUUUGAAUUUCAGUUCUUUUUUUGCCCCAAUUUAACUAGUUGAUUGAGUAGAGUGUCUCAUAGAUUGAAUUAUUAUGUCAAUAUCCAUUUUUGUUUAAAUGUUUAUAGACAUAUUAAAGUUAAAAUUUAGUUGUUGACAUACUUUUGAUGAUCAAGUGAAAUAGUUUCUUAAUUUUUCUGUUCUAUGUGAAGGGUGUAUGAAAAAAGAUGGGGACAGUUAGAUAUAUUACAUCUGGGCUUUUCUAGAGAAGUAUUAUAACCUCUUUUCGAGCUUUUAUGAAAAUAUGUAACAUUGAAAAGGUAUCUCAUGGGUAUUUUUUCAAUCUUAUUUUGUUGUGAUCAAUUGAGAUACAUAAUAUGCACUAUAAAUUUGUUAAAGUGUUGGACUUAUCUGUUUUUUUAAUAGGGUUGAAAGAAUGUCAAGGUACGUUUUGUUAAAGCAUAUUUUUAUUUUGAUAAAUUUGAAGUUGUCAAGUAUGUGUAUAAUAAUGAUAAUGUUAAUAUGAGUAAAUUUAUGGCUCUGUAUGACUGUGUGCAUAUUUAAGCUAAUGAUAUUAUGUAUGGAAGACAACUUGCACUAAAAGGCUUAGUAAAUAGUCACAAGGCACCUUUUGAAUUCAGUAGAUAGAAGAAACUAUUGUUGAGAUAAAAUACAAGGAAUAAAGAAAAGUUGUAUGUACUCAGAAUUCAAACUUAUUGGUCAUCAUCUGAUUAUCAUGCUAUAAAUGUUUUGGAUAGGCGAGAAGAGCUAUGAGUAUCAUGCACUAGAGUGACGAAGUUGAAUAUAAAAGAGAAAGACGUGCAAUUUUUCGCAAGGCAUAAUCAUGAUAAAUUAAUUUUCUUCCUUACAUUGUGCCAUUUUGCUUUGACAUUAUAGUAUACUUCUAACUUUAUGUCUCUCCAGCAUAUUUGAGAUGUUUUGCAAAAAAUAGUUAUGCUUGAAGUUGGACAAUAUUAUAUCAUAGUGUAGAAAUGUUUAGAGAUAAGUUAUUCUUAGUUUGUGUUUUGCAUCUGGAUUUUUUACUAAAACUUUGGCUUAUGUGACUUGUGUUUCAAAAGUCUAAGAUAAACUGUAUAGUAUGUACUGUUAAAUUAUUGCACAAUCUGAAUGCUUGAAUUUAUGAGUUAAGGUGAAUUCAACACUACUAUAAAACUCUCCCUCAUUUGUGAAAAUGAAAACUUGUAAAAUACUAAACUAAUACAAUCAAAUUCAUCAUGUGCAAAAUUGUUUCAUCAGUUUUGCAUGAUCAUAGAAAGCUUAUCUUCUGAAGCAUGUUAAUAUGAUUCUUGUACCAAGAUUUUCAAUAUCUUUUAACUCAUGUAGUAUUUUUUUUAUGUGAGAUCUUAAAACCCAUAUAUCCAAAUGCAAUGGGUCUUAAACCCUUUUCUUCCCUUUCUCUAAUCUUAUUUUUUCAGAUUUAGCCUCUUUGUUUACUUGUAAAGUAACAUAUUUAUCUUUAGUCUUUAAAAUGUGUGGAUGAAUUUUUGCCAUGUUUUCGAGUGGAUUACUUUGGUGAGGAGACAUGUUGAUCAAGUUGUAGUGAAUGAUGAAACGAUAUUCCCUCUCUUUAAGAAAUUUUGUAAGAUGCAAAAUAAAGGUUUCAAGUAGUUUGAUUUAAGCUUUGGUUUGGUAGCUAUUUUGUUUUUAAAUUUUUAAAAGUUAACCUAACGAUUGACAUCUUUCUAAAGUUCAAAAGUUGAACUCUUAGUUCAAAACUGUCUAGUACUCCAUGGUAUGCAUCUUUUUUCAUUCCUUUAUUUAUUUAUUUGGAGUUUUAGGUGUAUAUUUUUGUAUCUGAUGAAUUAUUUGGGUUUAUAGUCAAGAGGGUGUGUUUAGAUUUUAUUGUUUGAACUUGUUGAGUGAAGAAAUUGAUUGUUUGGUAUGCAUGAUCCUUGUUUUAGUAAAAAAAGGUAUUUUCAGGGAUGCUUUUGGAUGGUGAAGUUUAUUUUUUUUGGGAACCGUUGUUCUUUAAUUGAGUUGUUUAAUUGAAUUUAGUUCUUUGAGGAAACUUUAAGACGCUUUUUGUCCAUGUGUUUUAAGUAUUUUUUUUUGGUUAACUUGUAGUCUUUUACAUUUUCCCCACUUCUUGAUUUAUUGUUCUUGAUGGUUUAUUCACUUGUUUUCACAAAGUUUGCUCAAUUGGAGUUGCAAUGAAGAUCAAGAUUCAAUCGGAGCCAUUUUUUGGUUUUUAGACUACUUUAAUUUUAAUUUUAGUUGUCUUUCUCAGCAUGGUUGUCAUUUCCAUAACUGACUCUAACUUGUUACUUCCCUGCACAUAGAAAUAGGUUCAGAAUCUUAUUUAUGUAAGAUAUUUAUUAAGAUAAACCUUUAGCCAUGGAGAACAAAAGUAUAGAACUCUUAGUACUAGAAAUUUUCUUGCUUAUGUAAAAU